UGCUUCUUCUUCUUCCUCUUCUUCUCUCUCUCCCUCUUCUUCUUCAUUUCUUUCUUGUUUCCCCUGGCCCUCAUCAGGUGGAGGAGGAGAAACACAGGUCGUUACCGCUUUACAAGAAAAAUAAAAAUUAUUAUUAUGUUCUGAAGGUCUCAAAACAGUAAAAAUCGAUAAUUUUCGAAAAAAAUCAGAAAUAUCAUCCUCCAAAAAGUAAAAUUCUGGUAAGGUUCCAGCUUCACAUUGUGCCAUCACCAACUUUGAUGCACAAAUAGGCUCUCCUCCCUGCUUAUGAACAGAAAAGAUUUCACUCACUCUCAAUGAGACAUAAUAAGAUUCAACGGGUAAUUGUUUUGCUUUUUCUUCAGCAGGGGUUGGUGAGAGGGGAAGUGGAGAAGUAGGCCUAUCGUUAGCACUUUUCCGGUGAGGAAGAGGUUUAAAUCUUUUAAUCAAUUUAAAAUCACUGAUAUCAAGAGGGUCUUU
rnacentral:ribozyme from 13 species